UACGUAGGCGGAAAAUUAAGUCAGUAGUGAAAUCCUGCAGCUUAACUGUAGAACUGUUAUUGAUACUGGUUUUCUUGAAUAUAGUUGAGGUAGGCGGAAUGUGUAAUGUAGCGGUGAAAUGCUUAGAUAUUACACAGAACACCGAUUGCGAAGGCAGCUUACUAAGCUAUGAUUGACGCUGAGGUACGAAAGCGUGGGGAGCGAACAGGAUUAGGAUACCCUGGUAGUCC
rnacentral:rRNA from 1 species